rnacentral:tRNA from 1 species
AAUGGCGAUAGGCGGUCUUGGCGUCGCCCAUCGCCCGGAGCGCGAUGAAGCCGGCCAGCAUGUUCGAUUCGACCUUGUCGCUG